rnacentral:rRNA from 1 species
AUUGAACGCUGGCGGUAUGCUUAACACAUGCAAGUCGAACGAUGAGAAAGAGCUUGCUCUUUCGAUUAGUGGCGGACGGGUGCGUAACGCGUAGGAAUCUACCUAUUAGUGGGGGACAACUUAGGGAAACUUAAGCUAAUACCGCAUACGCCCUACGGGGGAAAGAAGGGGAUCGCAAGACCUUUUGCUAAUAGAUGAGCCUGCGUAGGAUUAGCUAGUUGGUGGGGUAAAAGCUCACCAAGGCGACGAUCCUUAACUGGUUUGAGAGAAUGAUCAGUCACACUGGAACUGAGACACGGUCCAGACUCCCACGGGAGGCAGCAGUGGGGAAUAUUGGACAAUGGGCGAAAGCCUGAUCCAGCAAUACCGCGUGUGUGAAGAAGGCCUUAGGGUUGUAAAGCACUUUCAAUUGGAAGGAAAACCUCGAAGCUAAUACCUUCGAGUUUGACAUUACCUUUAGAAGAAGCACCGGCUAACUCCGUGCCAGCCGCCGCAGUAAAAC